CUUAACACAUGCGAGUCGAGGGGCAGCAUGGUCUUAGCUUGCUAAGGCCGAUGGCGACCGGCGCACGGGUGAGUAACACGUAUCCAACCUGCCGUCUACUCUUGGACAGCCUUCUGAAAGGAAGAUUAAUACAAGAUGGCAUCAUGAGUCCGCAUGUUCACAUGAUUAAAGGUAUUCCGGUAGACGAUGGGGAUGCGUUCCAUUAGAUAGUAGGCGGGGUAACGGCCCACAUAGUCUUCGAUGGAUAGGGGUUCUGAGAGGAAGGUCCCCCACAUUGGAACUGAGACACGGUCCAAACUCCUACGGGAGGCAGCAGUGAGGAAUAUUGGUCAAUGGGCGAGAGCCUGAACCAGCCAAGUAGCGUGAAGGAUGACUGCCCUAUGGGUUGUAAACUUCUUUUAUAAAGGAAUAAAGUCGGGUAUGCAUACCCGUUUGCAUGUACUUUAUGAAUAAGGAUCGGCUAACUCCGUGCCAGCAGCCGCGGUAAUACGGAGGAUCCGAGCGUUAUCCGGAUUUAUUGGGUUUAAAGGGAGCGUAGAUGGAUGUUUAAGUCAGUUGUGAAAGUUUGCGGCUCAACCGUAAAAUUGCAGUUGAUACUGGAUAUCUUGAGUGCAGUUGAGGCAGGCGGAAUUCGUGGUGUAGCGGUGAAAUGCUUAGAUAUCACGAAGAACUCCGAUUGCGAAGGCAGCCUGCUAAGCUGCAACUGACAUUGAGGCUCGAAAGUGUGGGUAUCAAACAGGAUUAGAUACCCUGGUAGUCCACACGGUAAACGAUGAAUACUCGCUGUUUGCGAUAUACAGCAAGCGGCCAAGCGAAAGCGUUAAGUAUUCCACCUGGGGAGUACGCCGGCAACGGUGAAACUCAAAGGAAUUGACGGGGGCCCGCACAAGCGGAGGAACAUGUGGUUUAAUUCGAUGAUACGCGAGGAACCUUACCCGGGCUUAAAUUGCAGAUGAAUUACGGUGAAAGCCGUAAGCCGCAAGGCAUCUGUGAAGGUGCUGCAUGGUUGUCGUCAGCUCGUGCCGUGAGGUGUCGGCUUAAGUGCCAUAACGAGCGCAACCCUUGUUGUCAGUUACUAACAGGUUCCGCUGAGGACUCUGACAAGACUGCCAUCGUAAGAUGUGAGGAAGGUGGGGAUGACGUCAAAUCAGCACGGCCCUUACGUCCGGGGCUACACACGUGUUACAAUGGGGGGUACAGAGGGCCGCUACCACGCGAGUGGAUGCCAAUCCCAAAAACCUCUCUCAGUUCGGACUGGAGUCUGCAACCCGACUCCACGAAGCUGGAUUCGCUAGUAAUCGCGCAUCAGCCACGGCGCGGUGAAUACGUUCCCGGGCCUUGUACACACCGCCCGUCAAGCCAUGGGAGCCGGGGGUACCUGAAGUGCGUAACCGCGAGGAGCGCCCUAGGGUAAAACUGGUGACUGGGGCUAAGUAGU
rnacentral:rRNA from 1 species